AUUGAACGCUGGCGGCAUGCCUUACACAUGCAAGUCGAACGGUAACAGGUUAAGCUGACGAGUGGCGAACGGGUGAGUAAUGUAUCGGAACGUGCCCAGUCGUGGGGGAUAACUGCUCGAAAGAGCAGCUAAUACCGCAUACGACCUGAGGGUGAAAGCGGGGGAUCGCAAGACCUCGCGCGAUUGGAGCGGCCGAUAUCAGAUUAGGUAGUUGGUGAGGUAAAGGCUCACCAAGCCGACGAUCUGUAGCUGGUCUGAGAGGACGACCAGCCACACUGGGACUGAGACACGGCCCAGACUCCUACGGGAGGCAGCAGUGGGGAAUUUUUGGACAAUGGGCGCAAGCCUGAUCCAGCCAUGCCGCGUGCGGGAAGAAGGCCUUCGGGUUGUAAACCGCUUUGUCAGGGAAGAAAAGGUUCUGGCUAAUACCUGGGACUCAUGACGGUACCUGAAGAAUAAGCACCGGCUAACUACGUGCCAGCGCCGC
rnacentral:rRNA from 1 species